rnacentral:lncRNA from 1 species
UUUUUUUUUUUUUUUUUUUUUUUUUUUUUUUUUUUUUUUUUUUUUUUUUUUUUUUUUUUUUUUUUUUUUUUUUUUUUUUUUUUUUUUUUUUUUUUUGAGAGAUAGGUAGCACGCUACCCGCUUCGUUUAUUUCAUUUAGAAAUAAACUUAGCUAGAAAUGUGAAUCAACUAGGAUUCGAACUUGGAUCUCGGGUACCAACCACCAAGCCCUUUGCCACUUGCUCUAGGGACGGUCGGUAACAUCAGUUAAUCUAAGUGAGCAAUUUGCU